CUAAGGAAUAUUACGGAAACUACACACGUUUGUUAACCUUUGUUCAGUUUUGAGAGGUUUACUCUCAAAACUUUUGUUCAUUGAAAACUGGAUAUUGAAGUAAAAAAGAAUCAAAACAAACCGAGAACACCGCGUUGAAUGAGUUUUUUAAGAAGUUCAAUUGCUUAUUUUCUUGAUGACGCUCCUAUCGCUAGGAAAACGAGUCAAAACCCAACCGUAAGGUUGAUAA
rnacentral:misc_RNA from 1 species